CAGUGGGAGACAUAAGCCCAGGCUGGCCUACUGCCCAGGAUCUGAGGGAAGUGGGUGGACAGUCCUCAGGCCCUGAUGGCCCUCCUGGGGUCCUGCCAGCUGGACAGUUCAGGGGAGCUGCAGAAAGAUGAGGUCACUGGGACAGAGGGCAUCACUUGUGUACAGAAAAUCACCCAGAGCCAAAGUUGUGUGGAGGGUCACACGCAGUCCCACGGUCAGACGACCCCUGGGCAGAGAGGGCAGCCCCCGGAGGCCCUGGGGCCCUGGCAGGCAGGCCUGGUGGGGAGGUCACGGCAGGGAGACCUCAGACGUUGGCCAGCAUGUCUGCAAAAGACUCUGGACAGCACAGAGGUGACACUCGGUCACUUGCAAAUACGGGGCGCUGCUGUGGGCUUGAGCCACCUGGCCCCCAGCAAACUGUGCAGAAGUCACGGCUGCCACUCUCCUCAGACCCACAGACCGGGCACCCGAGGGCCUCAGAGGGAGGCGGGGCGGGGGGUGGUCAGAGCUGAGGACCCCGGGCCUCGGUCUCCCCGUGGGUGCCCAGAGGACCAGAUCACAGAGACGUCAACCCCCCUGUUCUAAAGAAGGGGCCACUAAAGCAGGUUCAGUGGGAAUGACAGUGACCAGGAAUGCGUCCUGUGGCCUGGGCUGACCUGCAGCCCCGGGAGAGGGACGGGAGGAUCCGGGAGUCAUCACCGUGUGUGACACACCCACCCCACUGAACUCACGCUCACAUACAUCAGACUCACACAUUCAUACCCAUUCAACUCACACUCACAUGCACACUUACUUGCACACUCACACACACACACACACACACACACCUGUGCAGUCCAAGUCCCGGGAAGACGGGAGGCACGGUGGCUCCCUCCCAGCUCGCCAGGGAGCCUCCUCCAGCCGCUCGCUGACGCCACGUGCACGCAGACUCCGAGCCUCCUACGUCCGGACAAAGGGACCAGAACUCCUAGUCCACUUCAGCAGGACCUCGGGGCCUGUGUUCGCGGCCUGGACGACAAAGCCGCCUCUCGCCUCGGCUGUCAGAGCCCGGGAGCUGCCCCGGGAAGACUCCGGGCCUCAGCUGGGCUGACACGGUGCGGUGAGAAGGAAGGGAGCAGCCGACUCGCCCAGGUGCGUGACGUCCCGCGUCCCCAGGGGCACCGCUCAGCACCGUUCACACACCCUGCCCAGCGCCGGCCACCGUGCAGGUACCUGGGACAGAAGCUCUCGCUCAGCACCAACUGGGAGCUCCCAGGGCCGUGGAGGCUGACUCAUUACUAAACAUUCCUAUUAUUAGCUUCACUUUUUCUUCUGAUGUUAAAAGAAAUUAAAAUCACACAUCUUUAGGGCCCCUAGGAACCCAGUGGCCUGAGCGUGCCGUGCCUGCUGGAGGAGUGGGCCCUGACCCCGCCAGGCAGAGCCUCGGGUGCCCACCUCACCCAGCAGCGUGCCCCAAGCCCAGGGCACCACUGUCACCGAGAACACUGCCCUCCUGGCAAAUCACGUUCGUGAAGGGGCACUCGGGGCGCUGGAAACCUCCCCCAACUCCUGCAAAUCACGGAGGACCUGUCACUUAGGCCAUGGACCGCCCAGGAAGGGAAGAACCCCGAGGAUGGAGACCAGAGCCACGCUCACCUGCCUGCGGGAGAGACUUCUGACCCGGUCUCUGCUCACAGAUGGAAGGCUCACAGGCCACCUGGUUCAGGUGGCUGGACAGCAUCUGCGGCUCAGCUCGGGCCUGGCUCACGGGUCCAGAGUCCAGGCUCGGCCUCUUCCCCCUCCUUUCUGGAAGGCGCAGCUUCCCUGGCUUGACCCUGCUGAGCUGACAGGACUUUCUGGGCCGUGAUGGUCCCAGAAGGACGAUGUGGAAACUGAGGCCCAAACCAAGCCCCUGACCGUGGUUUACACACUGUGAAGGCAGCCCUGUGAUUUUGAUCUUGUAACCCGUGCUCACAGCCAAGGCCCUCCUGUUCCACCCAAGCCGGUCCUCACAGCACCCGCGGAACAGCCCUAAGAGCUGUGACGACGAGAUUCACCCCCUGACGGCGUGAUGCCCCAGCGGCGCCCUUCUAGAGGGAUCUGAGGAGAAACAAGGCUGCGACUCGCUCCUGAGGUGACUCUGGGACCUUGUCGUCCAGCUCCGAAGACCAGAGGUGAAACCACGACUCGCUUGUCCCUCUGGGAAGGACACAGGAGUGAGGGCCAAAGGAGGCCGCUCGACAACUGUCUUGAUUUCUGCAUGGGUGACUCAUGGGGGAAAGGUCACGUAGAAGGAAUCAUGGUGGCUUCGGACUCGACGAUGGCUGUGGGAGCCACUGGAAGACGAUGGAACAAUUCCUGCAAAAGUGGCCUCUGCUUAGCUUUUUCUAUAGGAAAAUGAUUUCCAAACUGGAAUUCUAUACUCGGUGUGACAGACUGCAUGUUUGUGCCCCUAAAUUCACGUGUUGAAACCUAACCCCUGAUGUGACAGUGUUAGGAGGUGAGGCCUUCGGGAGGUGUUAUAUGGAGAAUGAUCAGAGAACGGGGUGCACCAAUGGAGGGGAUGCCACCCAGGGGCUGGGGAGAGCUCCCUGGAGGAGGUGCGGCUUGGCUGAGUUGGCCUGGUGGUACACACUCAGAGACAGUGCAGUGCAGCGACUCUCACCCGCAGGCGCUCAGGAAGGACGCCACAUCUCCCCGCUGAUCAGACGCAGCGUCAGAGGAGCUUCUGCAGAGGGCCGGGCCCGGUGACGGCAGCGGUGCUCAGGAGCCAGCAGGCACCCGGUCCACUGGGGCCUUCCUCCAACGAGGAUUAACCGACACUGGUCAUAUGUGCCAGCUCUAGAGACCCACAGAGCUGUGGCCCAGCCCACACCUUUAAGAGAGGACGUGCACGAACAGAAGAAGGCCACUGGGUUGCAGAGGCGGGUGGGAGGCAGAGAGGGGGGCCUGGUCUGGGAACGGCCCCCAGAAGAGAAGCUGCUAGGCAGACAAUGACAGGAACGGUGUUGGAGGCAGAGGGAACAGCCUGUGCAAAGGCUCUGAGCAGAAGGCCCAGCUGCCCCUCUGUCCUCGGAGGGCCUGACGGGAUUGUGGGAGGACGGUGCUUGGCCCUUUACACAGCAAAUUCAAGCCAGGGGGGCCAGGGCUCUUUUAAGCUGACAUUUUCCGGCACAGCUGUUCGUGUUGUUCACAUAUCUGACAGCGGCCUGGCAAGCGUGCCCGCGAAACCCCGCUUCAUUGUUUUGGUUUUACUUUGUUUUUCUUUUUAAGGAAAAACAGCUGUAAGGCCAAGAGAGAAUGGAUGCUUUGGAGAAACUUCUGAUGCUACUUGCCCGGCUUAUACACUCAGGGCCAGGCCCCCAAACAGUCCACUGGGGCAGGGCAGGCCACAGCCAUCCCACGCACGGGCUGGGCUGAGCUGCCCGCCCAUCCAGGGUCAGCAGUGGGACCGAGGACGGCCCCGCCCCUUCAGGCUGCAGCCUCCGGCCAGCAGGAGCUUCCCCCUCCUCCGCUGUGACCAGACCAGACCCUGCAACGAGCCCUCGGGCCAGCUCUCUCUGCAGCUCCCAUGAGCCCUGUGGCCGGGCCAGGCUGGGCGCCUGCAGGACAUGGGGCCCGUCCUCUGUGCACCCCAAUCCCCAGAUGGUCUGUCCUCCUCGCUGUGACGCUGUAUGAUGGUGACAGCAGCAGCAGCGUGACAGUUCCCACUCACUGCACAUCGGACAGGAGCUGGCCCGUAUCCUCUCCAGUCCUCCCAGGCGCCCGCUGUGUAGACGACGUGGCCCCACUUUACAGACGAGGAGAAUGAGGUGCCACAGUUUGUGUCAGUUGCCGGAACCCAGAAGAGGCAGCCCGGGGAGGG
ensembl:lncRNA